GCAGCAGGCUGGGAGUCAGGGACGGAAAGAGAAAUGCAGUAGUCGAGGCGCCUCGAAAACACCAGGAGAGGCAUUUUCGAUUCGGUAUUUUAAAAGCCAUCGCAAGGUGUUCACAAAGACGUGUUUUGUGGACCAGCACCGGCCGAGAAGCAGGGCGCUGCAUUUCACAUCGAGGUGUUCCGAGUGAGGAUCCAGUUGGGACUGAAGAUGGACCGGGUAGACCCCAGACAGAGCAGCGGGUCCCAGAAAGGGGAGCAGCGGGUGAACCCCUUGAUUGGGUGGGGAGCUGUGGCUGACUCUGUCGGAACGGGUAAUGGUCUGGAGCACUGUCGGACAGCAACUCUGCAAACCAGUAUGAGGAGCCCAUAGCCCGUUGGGAGGUGGUGUCCUGGCCCUGCAGAAUGAUUGAUGCCAGAGGGAGGAGCUACCGAGUGUCCCUAAUCGGGGGGCUAUCCUCGACAAUCUGGGAGAGGAGCUACCCAGUGAUUUUUCCUUAUGGACUAUUCUCAGUGGAAUGCAAUGUUUUAAAUUAUACUGCUUUGGAAGCACCUGCCUCUGGUCUUGCAAACCGUUAUGCAAGACUGGAGAAGGGGGAGGAAAUGUGAAGGAGUGACCCUUCACUAGCCUGUUAUUUAAUUGCUUGUAUUUAAUUGAUUUAAUUGAAUGUAAUUUUGUAAAUUUGAGGCGAUUGAAACCAAGUGCAAUUGAUUGGCUCAAGCUAUUUAAGGACUGUCCGUAGGGGCAGAGGGGGAGAAGGUGAGCCACAACGAUCGUUUGUACUGCUGGUGUUUUUAAAAUAAAUUAUUUGUCUUUUUAAAGU